rnacentral:rRNA from 1 species
AUGUCGUCAACGUCGUCCAAGCCGAAGAGAGCAGGCGGCCUCCGGGGCCUCAGGCCGCAGCCGCUGAGCCUGCCGGCCCGGCCGUCCAAGAAGCCGCGCCACGCCGGACCAGCCGGGCCCGUGAUCGUGUACGAGCGCACGCCGAGGGUCGUCGACGCCGACCCGCACGAGUUCAUGGCCGUCGUGCAGAGGCUCACGGGCAAUUGCAAGCAGCGGCCGUCGACGGCGGCCACGACGCUGCCACCAGAGGCGUCGUCCGGAUCCGGAGCUGCUAGGGACGGCAGGGCCCCGACGUCUUUGGUUCUCACGCUUGGCCAGCAGCAGCCUGCGCCGUGCGGUGGUGAUCAUCAUCCGGAACCUUCUGCUUCCCCGUCUGCCGCAUCGUCGCUGCUGUCCCCGAGCAGCUUCUUCUUCUCCCCGGCCACCAUGCAGGCGAUACGAGAGCUCAUCAGCUGA